GAUGAACGCUGGCGGCGUGCCUAAUACAUGCAAGUCGAGCGAACAGACGAGGAGCUUGCUCCUCUGACGUUAGCGGCGGACGGGUGAGUAACACGUGGAUAACCUACCUAUAAGACUGGGAUAACUUCGGGAAACCGGAGCUAAUACCGGAUAAUAUAUUGAACCGCAUGGUUCAAUGGUGAAAGACGGUUUUGCUGUCACUUAUAGAUGGAUCCGCGCCGCAUUAGCUAGUUGGUAAGGUAACGGCUUACCAAGGCGACGAUGCGUAGCCGACCUGAGAGGGUGAUCGGCCACACUGGAACUGAGACACGGUCCAGACUCCUACGGGAGGCAGCAGUAGGGAAUCUUCCGCAAUGGGCGAAAGCCUGACGGAGCAACGCCGCGUGAGUGAUGAAGGUCUUCGGAUCGUAAAACUCUGUUAUUAGGGAAGAACAAAUGUGUAAGUAACUAUGCACGUCUUGACGGUACCUAAUCAGAAAGCCACGGCUAACUACGUG
rnacentral:rRNA from 1 species